rnacentral:rRNA from 1 species
GACGAACGCUGGCGGCGUGCCUAAUACAUGCAAGUAGAACGCUGAAGAGAGGAGCUUGCUCUUCUUGGAUGAGUUGCGAACGGGUGAGUAACGCGUAGGUAACCUGCCUUGUAGCGGGGGAUAACUAUUGGAAACGAUAGCUAAUACCGCAUAACAAUGGAUGACACAUGUCAUUUAUUUGAAAGGGGCAAUUGUUCCACUACAAGAUGGACCUGCGUUGUAUUAGCUAGUAGGUGAGGUAAUGGCUCACCUAGGCGACGAUACAUAGCCGACCUGAGAGGGUGAUCGGCCCCACUGGGACUGAGACACGGCCCAGACUCCUACGGGAGGCAGCAGUAGGGAAUCUUCGGCAAUGGGGGCAACCCUGACCGAGCAACGCCGCGUGAGUGAAGAAGGUUUUCGGAUCGUAAAGCUCUGUUGUAAGUCAAGAACGGGUGUGAGAGUGGAAAGUUCACACUGUGACGGUAGCUUACCAGAAAGGGACGGCUAACUACGUG